rnacentral:rRNA from 1 species
UACGAAGGGUGCUAGCGUUGUUCGGAAUCACUGGGCGUAAAGCGCGCGUAGGCGGCUUUUCAAGUCAGGGGUGAAAUCCCACAGCUCAACUGUGGAAUUGCCUUUGAAACUGGGAAGCUAGAGUGUUGGAGGGGAUAGCGGAAUUGCUAAUGUAGAGGUGAAAUUCGUAGAUAUUAGCAGGAACACCGGUGGCGAAGGCGGCUAUCUGGACAACAACUGACGCUGAGGCGCGAAAGCACGGGGAUCAAACAGG